rnacentral:rRNA from 1 species
CCUACGGGGGGCUGCAGUAGGGAAUAUUGGUCAAUGGAUGCAAGUCUGAACCAGCCAUGCCGCGUGCAGGAAGAAGGCCUUCUGGGUUGUAAACUGCUUUUAUCUGGGGAUAAAAAGUCCAUGCGUGGAUAAUUGAAGGUACCAGAUGAAUAAGCCACGGCUAACUACGUGCCAGCAGCCGCGGUAAUACGUAGGUGGCAAGCGUUGUCCGGAUUUAUUGGGUUUAAAGGGUGCGUAGGCGGCCUUAUAAGUCAGUGCUGAAAUAUCCCGGCUUA